rnacentral:lncRNA from 1 species
UCUCCGCUUGAGAGUCGGCUUCCGAAAUAAGAUAGAGGAGAACUAGUUUUAUUUAGUUUAACUUACAGAGUGCGAAUGUCGAGCGGCGACUAGCAAGUGAGAUACUGCAGGAUAAAGCACGAAAACAGUUCAUUGCGCGCACACACACACACUUACAAAUUUAAAGAUUACUUGUUCGGUUGAACACAAAAAAGAGGCUCAAUUCGGUGGGUUUUUUAAGUGAUAUUUUAUACGGAAAAGCAAGUUCAGGUUAAUUAAACACAUGGGGAAAGUGGAGAAUAUUAUAGUGUAAAUUUAACACUAAGGUAUGAAAGGGUACCGGGUGAGGGUUUUUCGCGUUAAGAUUCUCCGUAAGAACCAACGUUGCGCAUCGGAGAUGUGAAAUUGGUGAUGGAAAAGUUUGCGACUAGCCGUUCCUUACAAUACAAUGUUAAGUAACCUAGUAUAUAUAACCUAAGUGUAAUACCAUAUAAGGACGGCAACAUUGCUUUACAACUUUUGGCAAUAUUGCUGUUCUAAUUAAACUAGUAGUCUGUCAACCAGUAGGAAACACCGUGGUUCAGUAAUAUAGUGUCUCUUCAUUAAGUAAAAGUAAGGUAAAAGGAUAAGUGAAUUUGGUAGGCUAAAAUAGACUUCAACUUUUUUUUAAAGGUUGAUACCAUCACUUUUCUAUGGGUGAUGCUAGAGAUUUAUUCUCAACACUAUUAGUUCACUCGAAUUCUGUGAAGUAUCCAAGAAAACGUACCAAAUCCAACUAUUCUUUGCAAGAUUGUGCAAAUUUCAGUGCAGCUGACACCAGUACGGAUUCAUUAAUAAAUUAAGCAUCAUCAUAAGAAAGUAUUGACAUUGGAGGUAACGUGCCAGCUGUGGUAUCUCCUACUACAGUUGAAAGAAGAUCGCUAAGAAAAUCGCUGCACCGUGGUAAAUGCUUAAAUUCAGUGGAGGGACAGGAAAAGAAGGAAAAAAGGUGGCAGCAUGAAAUUUCGUAAAAGAAUUUUAGCUGAACAAAAAAGGAGACACCAAUGGGGAAAUAUGCGGGGGUUGGUCAGUCGUUCAAAUAUUUUUAGUACGUUGCAUCAACCAUUGAUUACUUGAGAAAUGACGUCGUUAAACUUACCGAAAAUCAACUUGAAGCUAAAAUAAAACACCUAAAUCAUAUGGAACAAAUUGUAAUAAAAACUUUCAUUCAAAAAGGAAAAGCAGAGUUGCAGGCAAAGUGUGGCAGAAGGCAAUCAAUGCGUUACAACGGUGGCUUCAUCAUGCAAUAUUUGCUGCUAAAAUUAAAGAGCAGUACUACUUAUACCCAUUUAAGGAAGAAUAAUUUCCUUUCUCUGCCUAGGUCUUUGACAAUCCGUCAAAGACUUUGUUCUUCUAAUUGUAAAUUAUGCUCCAACGAUCUUUCGUUGGAAAACAUCAUGAAAGCAAUGGUAAAUUUGAUUGCUGCCGAUCGCUGGAGCUCCCUGAUAUGGGAUGAAAUAUUUUCACACCCAGGGUUUUUACUUAAUUAAUUACGUUUGUUGUGAGGUCACAGUAAGAGAAAUCAAUUAUUCUGCUUACUACUUUGACACAAGAGUCAGCAAAAAGCAAUAAAUAUUCACUGUUGGUCACUAAUUACAUUAUAUUUUCACCCAAAGAGUG